AAGCGGUCGAUUUCUUGUGUUUGUCGAUUUCUGGCAGUUGACAAGGCGCUCAUUGGCUGCUCAAUCAGUUGCUUCGUGGCACUGAAGUUUCUUUAAAAGAUGUAAUGUUCUAAUUCUCGUCCUUCAAGUUACUGAGCUUACAGCGAUAACAUACAGGAUGACUCUCUUAUUUGUGACUCUCGCUGCUUCUAUUCUGGCCCUUGGAAAUUGCGGAAAUUUCACUAUCACACAAGAGGCUUCAGUUAGUAUUGAAAUUAAAAACUUUGAUGGCGAAGGAGAAGAUUUCAGAGGUAAAUUCACAAUAGGUCUUUUUGGAGACUCAGUACCAAUGACAGCACUUAACUUCGCUGGAAUUUGCAAAGGAUUCAAGAGAGGAAACAAAGGGCCUAAACUUCAUUACAAAAACACCUUCUGUCACCGAGUGGUAAAAGACAUGUUGGUCCAAUGUGGUGACGUCACCAUUGGUGAUGGAUCUGGCAGUAAAUCAAUCUUCGGAGAUAAAUUCAAUGACGAAAACUUCAUCAUCAGCCACAGCAGUGCUGGUAUUAUUUCUAUGGCUAAUCAUGGACAAGAUACUAACGGAUCACAAUUCUUCCUCCUCUUCACUAGAGCUCGAUACCUCGACAACAAACACGUCGCUUUCGGCAAAGUUGUUAAAGGAUACGAUGUAGUAGAAGCUAUCAACGAUUUAGGUUCAGAAAAAGACGGUUUAACACCACGACGACCCAUCAAAAUCACCGACUGUGUUCUUGAAGAAGUUGAAAAAUACGAUCUAUCUAGAAAACAAAUGUUUACUGAUGAUUUAGAAAAAUAAACAGUUUAUUUAAUUUGUGAAUUUUCUACCAUCAUAGUUCAUUUCUGCGUGUUAUUUUGAAUUGUUAUGUAGUCGUGUAUAAAAUGUUCUACAGACUUGUUUCGUUCAAUCUACAUCAUGUCUACGUGUUUUUUAGUAUUGUAUUUUCUGCAUUAAUUUGUAUUUAUUUAGCUCAUCAACUAGUGAACUGAUGUUUACGUGAAUACCGCGGCCAAAUCUACUUAAUUCAACUGUCAUAGUUGUUAUUUUAUCGCCAUGUAUGUAGUCAACUAUGUAAUAUAGUGUGCCCCCCCGCCCCUUUUUCAUGUAAUUUUUCUUGUAGAAGACAUCUUGUAAGGAUAUUGUAAUAAACAACCAUUGUAAAAAAAAAGCUCA